GCCCCUUUGGCUCAGUCGGGAGAGCGUCAGCCUUCAGAAUGAAAGGUCCCGGGUUCGAUUCCCGUCAAGGGCA
rnacentral:tRNA from 1 species